UAGAGUUUGAUCAUGGCUCAGAGCGAACGUUAGCGGCGGGCCUAACACAUGCAAGUCGAACGAGAAUAGGGGAGCAAUCCCCUUAGUAAAGUGGCGGACGGGUGCGUAACACGUGGGUAAUCUACCUUCCGGCGGGGGACAACAGUCCGAAAGGAUUGCUAAUACCGCAUACGUCAGCAGGGUCUCCGGACCUUGCUGGGAAAGAUGGCCUCUCCUUGGAAGCUGUCACCGGAAGAUGAGCCUGCGUCCCAUCAGCUAGUUGGCGAGGUAAUGGCUCACCAAGGCUUAGACGGGUAGCUGGUCUGAGAGGAUGAUCAGCCACACUGGGACUGCGACACGGCCCAGACUCCUACGGGAGGCAGCAGUGGGGAAUAUUGGGCAAUGGGCAAAAGCCUGACCCAGCCACGCCGCGUGAGUGAUGAAGGCCUUCGGGUCGUAAAGCUCUGUGGGGAGGGACGAAUAAGUGGCGUACUAACACUACGUCGCCCUGACGGUACCUCCUUAGCAAGCACCGGCUAACCAUGUGCCAGCAGCCGCGGUAAUCGC
rnacentral:rRNA from 1 species